GAAAAGGGUACAGACCUACAUGCAGGCAGGGUAUGUAUUUUAGGUAGAUUAUUCUUUUGUUUUAAAGCUGCAGCAAAUGAAGCCGAUGCUGUGGCUUUCAACAUUUUGUUGUUUUGUGACAGAGCAGACUGAGAUGUCUGUGUUCAUAUUCUUAUUUUGUUCAGCUACAAGAUUUUCAUUGGAUUGGAAGCCUUUGAAGUGCCAGUGUUGUUUUGGAUGUACAUUUGUAAAUGACCUGUGACUUUGUGCAGUCUUCUGUGAGCAGUCCAUAGGUGUGAAGGCCUGUGACUGUCAUUGCUUUAUUUCUCCAAGGCUUUGCAGGAGCAGUCUUUGCAUUUGCUUUCAUCCCUGGGAUGACAGGGCAGUCUGCCACCUGGAUUUGUGUCUCCUCGCUUACUUGUUUGAUAGCUGUUCUUCAGUGCCCAUAUCAAAAACCAAGUGUUGUUUCUACAGUCUGAAAACAUAAAACCACUGGAGAUACACCUAUAUGAGACGAAAUUCUCACUGCCAAAUGGGCUUUCUUCUUAAGAUAUCAGAAUGAAUACGUAAAAAGUUUUCUGCGGUGCAGAAACAUCAGUUGCCAAUAUUUUGAACAUCUGAAACCGCAGCACCCAAAAUGCUGAUACUUGCACAGCAGUUCUGGAUUCGGUACUGUGUAGUUCUAAUAUAGAAGUCCUUAUUGCCUCUUGUGAAGGGUUGGAGCAGAGUUCAUAGAGCUGCAAAUUAAUUCAAGGAAGUUACUCUUCUGCUUUCCCUCUCUCCCACUGAGAUUUGUGGGUGGUUUGUUUUGUGUGUUUUGUUAAUCUGAAAACGUCCAAAUACUUUUGUUAUUU
rnacentral:lncRNA from 1 species